rnacentral:rRNA from 1 species
GCAGCCGCGGUAAUUCCAGCUCCAAUAGCGUAUAUUAAAGUUGUUGCAGUUAAAAAGCUCGUAGUUGAAUUUCGGGGCCAGUAGGUUGGUCGUGCCACUGGUAUGCACUGGCCUCACUGGUCCCUCCUUCUUGUAGAACCGUGAUGGCAUUAAUUUGUUGUUGCGGGGAAACAGGACUGUUACUUUGAAAAAAUUAGAGUGCUUAAAGCAGGCUCGCGCUUGAAUACAUUAGCAUGGAAUAACGAAAUAGGACGAUCGAACCUAUUUUGUUGGUUUCUAGGAUCGACGUAAUGAUUAAUAGGGAUAGUUGGG